CUGGCCUCGAACUCACAGAGAUUCAUCUGGCUCUGCCUCCCGAGUGCUGGGAUUAAAGGCGUGCGCCACCACCUCUGGACUAAGCCUUGAACUGUUUUGCUGUUCUCCUUCCCCAUCACAAUGUCAGAGGGCCAGUCCAUUGAAUCGUGAUCCUAAUUAGUCUUAUCAAUUAAAGCCAGGAGUCAGAUAUUGGGGUAAUAACCUGGAAGAUCAGAGAAGCAGAGCAGCAGCCACUAGAGACUUCUUACCUCUACGAAUCCUCAGACCAAAUGGGCCUGAGAUCCUGUCUCCACCCGCCUUAUAUUCCUGUCUCCACCUCCUGAUUGUGCUGGGAUUAAAGGCAUGAGCCCCCCUAGUGCUAGGAUUAAAGGUGUGAGUCACCACCACUUGGCCUCUAUGAUUGACUAGUGGCUAGAUCCGCCCUCUGAUCUCCAGGCAAGCUUUAUUUGCCAGAACACAAACAAAAAUAUCACACAACAGUCCACCCCCAGACACGGGGCCUUGGAGGACGCUUUGAGACAAACAUGUUUGGGUCUGAAAUGGGAGUGGGGGCAACCCUACUUCCACAGCAGCUUCUUAGUGAGCUUAAACAAACACAUGGCAAUUUACUGACAUAUGUACAUUACAUAAACACUGACAAUAAUGGAAUUCUGGGCUCAUUUUAAUAAACUAGCUUUAAAAUUUUUGAUUUUA